rnacentral:rRNA from 1 species
UACAGAGGUCUCAAGCGUUGUUCGGAUUCAUUGGGCGUAAAGGGUGCGUAGGCGGCGGGGCAAGUCGGAUGUGAAAUCUCAGGGCUCAACCCUGAAACUGCAUUCGAUACUGCGGUGCUUGAGGACUGGAGAGGAGACUGGAAUUCAUGGUGUAGCGGUGAAAUGCGUAGAUAUCGUAAGGAAGACCAGUGGCGAAGGCGGGUCUCUGGACAGUUCCUGACGCUGAGGCACGAAGGUCAGGGGAGCAAACGGG